rnacentral:rRNA from 1 species
UAUUGGACAAUGGGGGGAACCCUGAUCCAGCGACGCCGCGUGAGUGAAGAAGUAUCUCGGUAUGUAAAGCGCUAACAGCAGGGAAGGAGAAAUGACGGUACCUGAGUCAGAAGCACCGGCUAACUACGUGCCAGCAGCCGCGGUAAUACGUAGGGGGCAAGCGUUAUCCGGAAUUACUGGGUGUAAAGGGAGCGUAGACGGUGGGGUAAGUCUGGAGUGAAAGGCGGGGGCGCAACCCCCGGACUGCUCUGGAAACUAUGUGACUGGAGUGCAGGAGAGGUGAGCGGAAUUCCUAGUGUAGCGGUGAAAUGCGUAGAUAUUAGGAGGAACACCAGUGGCGAAGGCGGCUCACUGGACUGUAACUGACGUUGAGGCUCGAAAGCGUGGGGAGCAAACAG